rnacentral:rRNA from 1 species
GACGAACGCUGGCGGCGUGCCUAAUACAUGCAAGUCGAGCGAAGUUUUUCUGGUGCUUGCACUAGAAAAACUUAGCGGCGAACGGGUGAGUAACACGUAAAGAACCUGCCUCAUAGACUGGGACAACUAUUGGAAACGAUAGCUAAUACCGGAUAACAGUAUUUCUCGCAUGAGAGAUAUUUAAAAGUUGGUUAUGCUAACACUAUGAGAUGGCUUUGCGGUGCAUUAGCUAGUUGGUGGGGUAAAGGCCCACCAAGGCGACGAUGCAUAGCCGACCUGAGGGGGGGGUCGGCCACAGUGGGACGAGGACAGGGCCGAGACCCCUACGGGAGGAGCAGGUGGGGACUCUUCGGCAAGGGGGGAAGGCCGGACGGGGCACGCCCGGGGGAGUAAAGAGGGUUUUGGGUUGUAAAAGCUUUUUGUUAGGGGAAAAAGGGAUAUGAAGUAACAAUACAUGUAAGGAACGGUACCUAACAAGAAGGCAAGGGCUAACUAGGGC